GAUGAACGCUAGCGGCAGGCCUAAUACAUGCAAGUCGAGCGGCAAGUCGAGGAGUAAUCUAAGACCUAGAGCGGCGCACGGGUGCGUAAACGCGUAUGCAACCUACCUUAUACUGGGGGAUAGCCCGGAGAAAUCUGGAUUAAUACCCCAUGGCACAUAUUGAUGGCAUCUGAGAUAUGUUAAAGAUUUAUGGUAUAAGAUGGGCAUGCGUCUGAUUAGCUAGUUGGCGGUGUAACGGACCACCAAGGCGACGAUUCAGUAAGGGGGUUCUGAGAGGAAAGGUUCCCCACACUGGCACUGAGAUAC
rnacentral:rRNA from 1 species